rnacentral:rRNA from 1 species
UACGUAGGGGGCAAGCGUUGUUCGGAAUCAUUGGGCGUAAAGGGCGCGCAGGUGGUUCUGUAUGUCUGCCGUGAAAGCAUACAGCUCAACUGUAUUGUGUCGGUAGAAACUGCAGGACUUUGAGGCUGGGAGGGGCUGGUGGAAUUCCCUGUGUAGCGGUGAAAUGCGUAGAUAUCGGGAGGAACACCAGUGGCGAAGGCGACUUCCUGGCCUGUUCUUGACGCUGAGGCGCGAAAGCUAGGGUAGCAAACGGGG